GGCUCCUUACAAGCACAUACAAAAUGUGACAGGGUUAAAUAUGUUAGCAGCCACUCAUUUUGUCCCCUAACCAAGGACAGUGAUGUAACAGUGCAGAAUGAGAACAUCUUUACGCAGAUGAAUACAAAUAGAAAUAAAUGUAACAAAAACACAGAGAGGACGUGGCUAGUUACUUGUAAACCAAAACAACAAAAAGACAUUUAAUACAUACCUGACAGUACUAGCAGUUAUUGACAG
rnacentral:lncRNA from 1 species